rnacentral:lncRNA from 1 species
CUGAUAUCUACAUUAAAAUUGUGUCUCUAAUUUUCUAUUUUAUUAGGGCUGUGAAGCUCACAAUUGUUUGGCUGCCUGGGAAUGUGUGCCUUCCAGCCACUCUCAGGCACAUCAUCACUGAAUGAUGCCUUUGGGUCCUUGAACGGAAGUGGUCUGUCUUUCAGCUCUGAUCAAUCACGCCUGUUUAUUAGGCAAGGUGAUUAAAGUGGUGGCGAACAUAGAAGAAGAAUUCUCCAGAUGAUGCAACAGGGUAAAGGACACAUGAGACAUCAAAGAAACAAUUCCUAGAUGAUAUGUCAGACACGAUUGCCUUUGAAAGAGCAAGAUGUACAUGGAAGAACCCAAAGGCCACACUUUUGAAAAGGAAAAACAAGAAUAAGCCCUGUUGCUCUUUAAGGAGAAAGGAAGGAACAGAAGGCUGCUGGGGCCUUUCUCACGUGGCCUGUGUUCUGUAAAGCAACUUCCCAGCAGCAGCAUGGCACUGUUCUAGCUAUGAGCAGGCACUCAUGUUGCCGUGAACUACGCACUGAGUACUGGUGUGACACUGGAGCAUCGGGUCAAAGGGAGAAGGAAAACUUCUGGUAAUCACGUUUUGUCUGUGGCGCCAAACAUGUAGAUACAUGAAACUGAUUGAGUGAUGAUUAACGUUUUUACUUUACAUCAGGAUGUUGGAUAUUGUGUGGACACUUGAGGAAGAAUGAAGAAUUUAGCCAUGAUGAAUUUAUACUAAGAUGCAGAUGGAGUUAUUGCCAUGGUGUUAGGACAAGCUGAUUGUGUUAAAGCAUGUGACACACCUAAUUUCAGAAACCAGAGGGGAAAUCGCCGCUCAUUAAAGUUCAAGCUUGCAUCCCUUUGGUCUCCUCCAACUAGAGCCAUGAUAUGAUGGUCCUGCCCAGGUCAUGUAAGUGAGAGUCUGCCAGGUGGGGUCCUGGAAACCUUUUUCUCUCUUGAUAAAGAGAGACUCCACUGAUGUCCUUUCAUGUUUUGCCCAUCCUUCUUUAUGCAUGGAAGCCUGGACGCGAAUCAGCCUUCAAGUCUCUAAGGUCACAGCUGUGAUGGACAUGGAACAAGGUGCUAUGGGUUGAGGGACAGAUGCAGAGAGAGCACAGGACCCCAGAGGCAUCAUUUUCACCAGCUCUUGGCUACCUGCCUCCUGACUUCUUGGUAUAUGAGAAAAACAAACUCUCAUUGUUCAAGUUAUUACUUUCUCCUUGCCGUAUUUUUCUCAUCCAAAUACAAAACUACCUGAGGCUAUUAUAGACUUGUAAUUUCUCCCACCCAUGGAAAAAUGUGAUGAUUGUUAAAUCUUUAGAAAUAAUGAAUAAUGGUAAAAAGAAGUCAUCCAAGUUUUAGCAUCCAUUAUGACAAAAAAAUCAGAAUAUGUGUUGCUGUUCUAAGAAAUUUAGUAUUAAGAGAGCCAUAUGUUUAUGCCUAUGUUUAAAAACAUAGGGAUUAAAAUUAGUCUUACUUUCAUAAGGCAGCCAUUGGCACCUGAUUUCUGAUGAAACCACUGGUUAUUUGCUGUACCAGGUUAAAACAAAUUACUUUUAUUUGUAUAUUAUAUAUAUAUAUAUAUAACAUCAGGACUGCUUGUGAAUUGCCAUCUGUAAUGAAAUUUUAUUCUAUGUAAAUGAUAUCUAAUUAUUAAGAAGAAUUGUUGUCAAGAUAAAUGAGUAAAUAAAGCUGUCUAUGAUCUUAAAUUUUGAGAAAUAUA